AGAGGUACAGCUCAGUGGUAGAGUGCAUGCUUAGUAUGCACAAGGUACAGGGUUCAAUCCCCCAGUACCUCCA
rnacentral:tRNA from 1 species